rnacentral:misc_RNA from 1 species
AUCGGGGAGAAGCUCGAGGCAGCAGAAUUCGAUGAGUGGAUCCGGGAGGUCGAGAUCGGGGAGGAUGGGAAUAUUAGUUAUGAGGAUUUCAUCGCUCGCAUGGUCGCCAAAUGAUUCUGAAUCUGAGCACGAUAUGCACUGCUUUCCCCGAAUUCCACCCUCUGUCCGAAUUCGAUGAAGGGAAGAGGAGCUGCAGGCGUAGGUUGGCCGGUCACAAUCGGCGAAGGCGGAAGAGCCAGCAUGAUGAUGUUUCGUCGCGGUUGGCAGCCCCAGGAAGUCAAGAAAAUGCCUCCAAUGGAAACUUGGAUGUCACUAAUUUGUUGGCUCUUUUGGCACACUUGCAAGGUAAAAAUGUUGAGAAACUGGCUACUAUGCCUGAUAAAGAUCAUCUCACCCAAAUUCUUAGUA